CGGAACGUGCCCAGUAGCGGGGGAUAACUACGCGAAAGCGUAGCUAAUACCGCAUACGCCCUACGGGGGAAAGCAGGGGAUCGUAAGACCUUGCACUAUUGGAGCGGCCGAUAUCGGAUUAGCUAGUUGGUGAGGUAAUGGCUCACCAAGGCGACGAUCCGUAGCUGGUUUGAGAGGACGACCAGCCACACUGGGACUGAGACACGGCCCAGACUCCUACGGGAGGCAGCAGUGGGGAAUUUUGGACAAUGGGGGAAACCCUGAUCCAGCCAUCCCGCGUGUGCGAUGAAGGCCUUCGGGUUGUAAAGCACUUUUGGCAGGAAAGAAAUGGCGUGUGUUAAUACCAUGCGCAGAUGACGGUACCUGCAGAAUAAGCACCGGCUAACUACGUGCCAGCAGCCGCGGUAAUACGUAGGGUGCAAGCGUUAAUCGGAAUUACUGGGCGUAAAGCGUGCGCAGGCGGUUCGGAAAGAAAGAUGUGAAAUCCCAGGGCUCAACCUUGGAACUGCAUUUUUAACUACCGGACUAGAGUAUGUCAGAGGGAGGUGGAAUUCCACGU
rnacentral:rRNA from 1 species